GAUGAACGCUGGCGGCGUGCUUAACACAUGCAAGUCGAACGGUGAAGGCGGAGCUUGCUCUGCUGGAUCAGUGGCGAACGGGUGAGUAACACGUGAGCAAUCUGCCCCUGACUCUGGUAUAAGCGCUGGAAACGGCGUCUAAUACUGGAUACGAGCUUCGAAGGCAUCUUCAGCAGCUGGAAAUAAGUUCGUUCGGGGAUGAGCUCGCGGCCUAUCAGCUUGUUGGUGAGGUAGUGGCUCACCAAGGCGUCGACGGGUAGCCGGCCUGAGAGGGUGACCGGCAACACGGGGACUGAGACAGGCCCCAGACUCCUACGGGAGGAAGCAGUGGGAAAUAUUGCACAAUGGGCGAAAGCCUGAUGAAGAAACGCCGGGUGAAGGACGACGGCCUUCGGGUUGAAAACGUCUUUUAGCAGGGAAGAAGCGAGAGUGACGGUACCUGGAAAAAAAGCACCGGCUAACUACGUG
rnacentral:rRNA from 1 species